rnacentral:rRNA from 1 species
GACGUAGGGCGCGAGCGUUGUCCGGAUUUAUUGGGCGUAAAGAGCUCGUAGGCGGCUUGUUGCGUCAGCUGUGAAAACCCGCAGCUCAACUGUGGGCUUGCAGCUGAUACGGGCAGGCUUGAGUUCGGUAGGGGAGACUGGAAUUCCUGGUGUAGCGGUGAAAUGCGUAGAUAUCCGGAGGAACACCGGUGGCGAAGGCGGCUUCCUGGACCGACACUGACGCUGAGGCGCGAAAGCCAGGGGAGCAAACGGG